rnacentral:rRNA from 1 species
AGCAUAUCAAUAAGCGGAGGAAAAGAAACCAACAGGGAUUGCCUCAGUAACGGCGAGUGAAGCGGCAACAGCUCAAAUUUGAAAUCUGGCCCUUUCAGGGUCCGAGUUGUAAUUUGUAGAGGAUGCUUCGGCGAGGGCUCCCGUCUAAGUUCCCUGGAACGGGACGUCAUAGAGGGUGAGAAUCCCGUAUGUGAUGGGUUGCUCGAGCCAUGUGAAGCUCCUUCGACGAGUCGAGUUGUUUGGGAAUGCAGCUCUAAAUGGGAGGUAAAUUUCUUCUAAAGCUAAAUACCGGCCAGAGACCGAUAGCGCACAAGUAGAGUGAUCGAAAGAUGAAAAGCACUUUGGAAAGAGAGUUAAAAAGUACGUGAAAUUGUUGAAAGGGAAGCGCUUGCAACCAGACUUGUCCGCAGUUGUUCAGCCGGUCUCCUGACCGGCGUACUCUUCUGCGGCCAGGCCAGCAUCAGUUCGGGCGGUUGGAUAAAGGCCUCGGGAAUGUGGCUCUCUUCGGGGAGUGUUAUAGCCCGGGGCGGAAUGCAGCCAGCCUGGACUGAGGAUCUCGCUUCGGCAAGGAUGCUGGCGUAAUGGUUGUAAGCGGCCCGUCUUGAAACACGGACCAAGGAGUCUAACAUCUAUGCGAGUGUUUGGGUGUCAAACCCAUACGCGUAAUGAAAGUGAACGGAGGUGGGAACCCGCAAGGGCGCACCAUCGACCGAUCCUGAUGUCUUCGGAUGGAUUUGAGUAAGAGCAUAGCUGUUGGGACCCGAAAGAUGGUGAACUAUGCCUGAAUAGGGUGAAGCCAGAGGAAACUCUGGUGGAGGCUCGCAGCGGUUCUGACGUGCAAAUCGAUCGUCAAAUUUGGGUAUAGGGGCGAAAGACUAAUCGAACCAUC